CCUACGGGAGGCAGCAGUGGGGGAUAUUGCACAAUGGGGGAAACCCUGAUGCAGCGACGCCGCGUGGGUGAAGAAGUAUUUCGGUAUGUAAAGCCCUAUCAGCAGGGAAGAAAGAAGACGGUACCUGACUAAGAAGCCCCGGCUAACUACGUGCCAGCAGCCGCGGUAAUACGUAGGGGGCGAGCGUUAUCCGGAUUCACUGGGUGUAAAGGGAGCGUAGACGGCCGUGCAAGCCAGGAGUGAAAGCCCGGGGCCCAACCCCGGGACUGCACUUGAAACUGUGCGGCUGGAGUGCGGGAGGGGCAGGCGGAAUUCCUGGUGUAGCGGUGAAAUGCGUAGAUAUCAGGAGGAACACCGGCGGCGAAGGCGGCCUGCUGGACCGCGACUGACGUUGAGGCUCGAAAGCGUGGGGAGCGAACAGGAUUAGAUACCCCUGUAGUC
rnacentral:rRNA from 1 species